GCUGUGAGGCAUGCUGGAGGUAUCAGAAGUGCGAAUGCUGACAUAAGUAACGAUAAAGCGGGUGAAAAGCCCGCUCGCCGGAAGACCAAGGGUUCCUGUCCAACGUUAAUCGGGGCAGGGUGAGUCGACCCCUAAGGCGAGGCCGAAAGGCGUAGUCGAUGGGAAACAGGUUAAUAUUCCUGUACUUGGUGUUACUGCGAAGGGGGGACGGAGAAGGCUAUGUCAGCCGGGCGACGGUUGUCCCGGUUUAAGCGUGUAGGUGUGUGUUCCAGGCAAAUCCGGUUCACUUUAACACUGAGGCGUGAUGACGAGGCACUACGGUGCUGAAGUGAUAAAUGCCCUGCUUCCAGGAAAA
rnacentral:rRNA from 1 species